AGAAAGAGAGAGUGAGAGAAAGAGGGGGAGAGAGCAAAAGGGAAAGAGUGAGACCGAGACAGAGACAGAGAGAGAAAGAGAGAAAAAAAGAGACAGACACAGAGAGAGACCCAACGAGAGAGAGAGAGAGAGAGGGAGAAAGAGAAAACGAAUGAGAGAGGGAAGAAAGAGAAAGAGAGAGGGAGUGGGUGUGAUGCGGGUUCAUACCAGGAUGCUCCAACUCUAACACCGCCUCUUCCCGAAAAGUGGACG
rnacentral:lncRNA from 13 species